rnacentral:rRNA from 1 species
UACGUAGGGGGCAAGCGUUGUCCGGAAUCAUUGGGCGUAAAGCGCGUGUAGGCGGUUCGGUAAGUCGGCUGUGAAAGUCCAGGGCUCAACCCUGGGAUGCCGGUCGAUACUGCCGGACUAGAGUUCGGAAGAGGCGAGUGGAAUUCCAGGUGUAGCGGUGAAAUGCGUAGAUAUCUGGAGGAACACCGGUGGCGAAGGCGACAUCCUGGACCAACACUGACGCUGAGUGAGCGAAAGCCAGGGGAGCAAACGGG